AGGAACAUUCCAUAGAAGGGAAGAGAUCUCUGCCAGGCUCUGCAGAAAUGGGACACAGAUGGUGCCUUAAAUGAGAGCGGAAGUUUAUUUGGGGGCCCUGUUCGUGACGUCGCGCUGCAGAUCCCGCAGCAGAUGACAGACACCAGCAUCUCAGAGAGGAGCCCACGGAAGGAUCUGGAGUUCUCCAUGGAGCCUGGCUAAUCUCUGCACACCAAUCUGUCUCUCUCCACCCAGGGAAUGGGAGCCAAGCAGAUUCAUGCAGCGAGAUGGGACAGGUUUGCCCAACCCACCAACUUAUCCUGCAAAUAAUUCGCUCCCAGGGCGAUCUCCCAUCUUUCCCCAGCUCCAAAUUCACGUCUUCCCAAAAUACUUCUGUGAAAUGCACGGUGCGAUUUUCAGCCACCGUUUGAGGCAGAACAGGGCCUGAACACACAUUUUGGGCUGGCAAAAAGUAGCUGUAAAGUCCUUACGUAGAAGAAAAAGAGGCUUUAACACCUGGAUGCAGCAAAAUUCUCCCAUCAUUUGUGAUCCCAAGUCAAAAUACCCACACAAAGGAUGAGAAGCAGCGGAGUCUGCAGAUGGUGGAAUUUGAGGAAUGCCUCUCAACUCCUCCUUCCCUAUGUAAGAUCUUCUCCAGAGCAGACUGUCCCACUCCUACUCCUGGAUUCCAAGAGAGUUUAGUCCUUAUUAUUCCACUUGCUAAUGGAAAACAGUGAAAUGGAUUUUUUUUUUCAUCACAGAAAAAAACAAGAGUUCUCCAAAUGUAAACAUUGAGAUAAAUCACACUCGUUUCAGUGACAUUUUCCAAUUUCUUAUGAAAAACAUUCCAACCAGCAAUUUAAUGAAGAUUUUUGCAGCUUGUUUUGACUUUUUAAAAGAGAUGAACAUUUUCACUUCUCUUUGAGAGGCUGAAUUUCUCGCUUUUUAACUUCAUGUUUCCUGUCUUUUUGCUGUGAAGAUUCAAGAGAAGAGAAGAGGAGUGAAAGUGAUUUUCGUGACACUUUGCCAAUGCUACUUCUUUCAUUUCCAUUCAUUUUUCAAGGGAAAGGACAAGGGUUAAUUUAAAAAUUAAGACAAAAUUAAUGCCGUAAUUCGAAUUAAGUAUUUUUUUCUCUCUGAAAAACCUGAAUUUCAGAUGCUUCAAAGCAAGUCUUUCUCUGUUUGCUUUCCCUUCCUGAAAUCCAAAGGAAACUAAUGUUAAACUAUUAAUUAUCAUCUGACAUGUGUUUUUGCUGUCUUAUAUUCCAUUUCUUCCUGUUCUUGUGUUCUUCCUUAAUAAAUUAUAAAGCCAACA